CCUAAUACAUGCAAGUCGAGCGGACAGAUGGGAGCUUGCUCCCUGAUGUUAGCGGCGGACGGGUGAGUAACACGUGGGUAACCUGCCUGUAAGACUGGGAUAACUCCGGGAAACCGGGGCUAAUACCGGAUGCUUGUUUGAACCGCAUGGUUCAAACAUAAAAGGUGGCUUCGGCUACCACUUACAGAUGGACCCGCGGCGCAUUAGCUAGUUGGUGAGGUAACGGCUCACCAAGGCAACGAUGCGUAGCCGACCUGAGAGGGUGAUCGGCCACACUGGGACUGAGACACGGCCCAGACUCCUACGGGAGGCAGCAGUAGGGAAUCUUCCGCAAUGGACGAAAGUCUGACGGAGCAACGCCGCGUGAGUGAUGAAGGUUUUCGGAUCGUAAAGCUCUGUUGUUAGGGAAGAACAAGUACCGUUCGAAUAGGGCGGYACCUUGACGGUACCUAACCAGAAAGCCACGGCUAACUACGUGCCAGCAGCCGCGGUAAUACGUAGGUGGCAAGCGUUGUCCGGAAUUAUUGGGCGUAAAGGGCUCGCAGGCGGUUCCUUAAGUCUGAUGUGAAAGCCCCCGGCUCAACCGGGGAGGGUCAUUGGAAACUGGGGAACUUGAGUGCAGAAGAGGAGAGUGGAAUUCCACGUGUAGCGGUGAAAUGCGUAGAGAUGUGGAGGAACACCAGUGGCGAAGGCGACUCUCUGGUCUGUAACUGACGCUGAGGAGCGAAAGCGUGGGGAGCGAACAGGAUUAGAUACCCUGGUAGUCCACGCCGUAAACGAUGAGUGCUAAGUGUUAGGGGGUUUCCGCCCCUUAGUGCUGCAGCUA
rnacentral:rRNA from 1 species